GGUGGCUCAGUGGUAGAGUGCUUGCCUUCAAUGCAUGAGGCCCUGGGUUCAAUUCCUCAGCACCA
rfam:Dipodomys ordii contig_48886, whole genome shotgun sequence.